AGAGAGAGAGAAAAAGAGAGAAGAGAGGCUGCCAUCUCACCAAUGACAAGAUGUUUCUGUCACACGGUUCGGACAUCAAGCAUCCUGGACAAUGGAUAACCCAGGCCUCUUCCCUCUGACUGGGGGAAAGCCCAACUCAGCACACCUGGGGGAGUGACCCCCAACAGCGAGCCCCUGUAGCUCUCCAAUCUGAAAGGACCACAGUACUCCAUCUGACAGGUAACCUAUUCUACAAAUAGGUCCAACAACUCGAACCAGCUACCCUCUUGGCCUUCAGCUGGGUCUCCGCCCUCUCUCCUGCAUAGCCGAGAUCCCAAGACAAACAGAAGGCCACCAGCACACCACUUCUACUGAAGAGUGAACACAAGAGCAAACUGAAAGCCAAGUACUCACUGUGGUGAAGUCUUGAUGCCCACACUCCUGCCCCUUGAACUUGCAGUAGAGCAUCAUAUCCUUCAGGUCAUGGCCUACCCGGUGCAGGAACUCCAGCAUGCUGAACUGCUUCGGUUUGUAGUGUUUGAAGUUGGCCUUCUGUCGGAGGGCCUCCAGCACGGUGGGGUCCGCCAGAUGCGGGUCAGGAAUCUGCAAGUUGACAUCCAACAGGGCCAGCAACUCCCCAGCGUGGUACAAGUCGUUGGUGGUAAGCCUGGAGAACCGGAAGCCAUUGAGGUUGCAGAGGGUCACAGCUGGGAAGACCAGGCUCUGGGCCACCACUUCAUCCACCUUGGUAACAUGCUGAUAUGAGAAAUAGUAGGAUACUCUCUCCGAGCUCUCCACCAGCAGCAGGCCCAGAGAUCCCACGAAGGCCACUGCCCAAAGCACACGCCGGAUGGUCAGCGGCCCAUACACGAAGAUGUGGCGGAUGCCAUGGAGAGUAGAGGUGUUGGCGAAGAUCUGGAUGCUGGAAGGUUGCAGGCUGCCCUCGCUGGGGCUCUCCUUGAGGUCCAUCGGGACCCUGUGCAGUUCUGCAACUGGCUUCAGGUUGAUCAGAUCUCAGGGAAGAGUUCCCAGUGCUCUGAAUUCUGCUUAAACCUUGGCAUUCAAGGCAGAGAUCGCCAGGCAAGCAUCAGGCCAGACACUGGGAGUUUAUCCUGAGAGCCUGGCCACACGCUGACAGGGGGACAGAAUUCCAAUUGCGGGCUGCGGCUGCUGUUGCCGAGGGAGAGGACGCUGCGCUCCGCCUCCGAGAGAAGCAAGGAUGCGGGGGUUUCUGUGGGCUCCUUGCUUCCAGCCUCCGGAGAAAGAGGAAGACCGUUGGGCUCAAAACGAGCCCUUCUCCCUGGCCUGCCUCUGGCAAGGCUGUUAGAAGGAGGAGAGGCUUGUGCAGGGGAGCAGGACCGAUAGGGGUUGGGGACAUGGAGAAAGUUUUUAGCCUUUUUUAAAAAAUCUGCUGGGGGUCUUCUACUCCACGUAAUGAGCUACUCCCAGAGGAAGGAGAACUUAACCCCCUAUCCCCAUGGAUGGCAGGAAAGUGGAUACUUAACUGCAUGUGGCCAGUGAGAUGCUGGCAAGGGGUUUUGCACCAAUGUGGGCUCCAGGGUCACAUCCAUGAGGGGUCUCUAUGGGAGAGAUGAUGAAAACGAAGGGAGCAAUUUUAAAACCACGGGUCUCCCUCUGCAGGCUAGAGGGGGACACUUCAGAGUAGAGAGAAGCCCUUCUAGAGAUAGAAAAAUCAGUGUGCCCAUAGGAACCCGAGAGAGAGAGAGAGAGAGAGAGAGAGAGAGAGAGAGAGAGAGAGAGAGAGAGCGCAACAAGUAUCCCACCCCCACCCCCAUAUGUCUGCCAGGACUUUUUGUGUUUAACAAAGGAAGACAGCUGGGUGCCCUGUAGGACUGGUUUAAUUCCAUUCCUUUCAAGGUGUGUGUGUGUGUGUGUGUGUGUGUGUGUGUGUGUGUGUGUGUGUUCUGUCCCAGGAUUUGCCAGAUGGAAUCACAGCUGGAGCUGUAGGUAGGAGAGAGAAUGGGCUCUCUCUGUGUCUUCCACCUCCCUCUUCCUGAAAAUCCCUUGUAAGUCAGGUCCCUGCUGGCUGAUAGGUGUGGCUUGCUUGCCUGCCCCUUGCCAAGGAUCAAGUGGCUGGCAUCAGGGAUAAAUUCUCAUCAUAGUGAAAGGAAUUAAAAGUUAGAGUAGCCAACUUGAGCCACUUGGCCAAGCUGGGACAGAGCCACAUGGAGGCAAGUGUCUUGGAGAGCGAAGCUGGCAUCUUCAGGGGAUGCCAGGCUUAAAAAGGUGGAGAAAAGGGUGGCUUGGAUCAUCCUCUUCUAGGUUGAUGGCCAUUCUGCAAUGAUGUUAUGACCCAUCCAGCCUCCUGCUAAGCCAGAUCCACUGAGACAGUUCCCAGAAAGCAGUCCGAGGUGACAUGCGUGUGGAGCAUGACCUCAGUAGUUUAUCAGUCAGGAAUGUUAAGACAUGACAGAAGGCAAAUGACCAAGACUGGAUGGGAGGAGCUUUGUGCCUUUGCUAACCCAGAGUCCUGGUCUCAACAGGGCAUAGGCUUGUAAACCAGGAGGACCAAAACCAAGUCGCCUCGAGAAGUGAAUACUCUUGGUUUUAUUGCCAUCCAACAGAUGAGAAAACUCAGGCCUGCCACAAUGAACUGCUGUGUCCUAAUCACAGGACCAGUGAAGUGAGAGCUGAGACGUCAUCCUGGGUGACUGGGGAACCAUUUAAAGCUCACCAGGGUCUUAUUUGCCUCAGGUACUGCAUACCUGGAAGCCAAAGUCAAACAUAAUGCUGCCUUCUCUUCUGCUUCCUUUGCAUGGCCCAAAGAUGAUCUCAGGGUCUCCUUAACUCUUGCAAACAGGGUAGGCACUAUAGGAUGGGUGGAAGACCAGAGGAUAAAGGUACUUAUUGUGGCUUUCAUUGCAAGUCAUUGGACUCUGUGCUGGGCUUUCUUGUGGAUUUGUCAUAUGUCAAGAGCACCACUGAACCCAUUUCACAGAAGAAACUGAGAAGGGCUACUUGUCCUGUGGUCUAAUCGCUGAAAGCUGAAACAGGGAAGUCUGAGCUAGAGGAGACAGCCCACAGACCUGCACCAGAUGCCAAUGUAUGCCACUGAAGCACUAGCACAGAACUGGAGGACCAGAGAUGGACAGUGGUUUUACAGAGAUGCCACCAUACCAUUCUCUGUACAGUGCUAGUUACUCCAAAAGAUGGCUAAUAAAAGUGUUCCUGCACGGCUCUUGUUAAGGGCCCUCUUUGGCUGGUAAGAAUCUCUUGUAAUUAACACUGUGGUUUGUGCACAAACGUUAGAUAUUGUCUUAUUCUUUAAAAUGCUUUUGUAGAGCUCAGUUGUUAAACAUUUGCAGCAUCAAUCAAAUCCCCAUUACCUUUUCUUAGCUCUGGGGCGUUAAAGAUCAGAAGAAACCACCCCACCCUUUCUUUGUGCGGAUAGAUGCACAUGGGUGUGUCCUUGCUUUCCUGUCUGAUGAAGUGAUUGAGUUAUUAAGGAUCUACAGCUUAUUAAUUUGGGUCUGACUCCUUUGCUAGAGCAGUGUGGAAAGAGACCAGUCAAAUCCCAUGGAAGGACAGAAACCUCUGUGCAUCGGGAGAUGUGUAUCCUGGAGUCAUGCACACACCUGCCCCCUUUUUUCCUUUUACCAGCAAGCAGACCAGGCUUAAAGGGGCAAGGUAAUGAGACCACAGUCCCAACACUUGUGAUUUCAGCACCAGUUUGGGGACUGCUGAGACAUUUAGUCUGGUGGACUGAAAAAACUACCUAGUCAUUGGCCUUUCCAUUGUGAGACCAUUGUUGAUGGAGUGCCUGAACCAUAGAAUGUCCAAGGACCUCCUCCCAGUCGCUCCAGCUUUUGAGUAUCAAGGCUCUUUGCACCAUCACCACCAGAGGUCGCUGUUGAGAAUGGUCUCUUGGAACACUCAGGAGAUGGCACCCCACUGGAGGAAGUGUUGAAGUUACCAAGUAAAUACCUGUUGCUUACACUGCUGCCCCCACUUUCAGGGCGAGCCCCCUACAACCCUGGUUAGGGAUAAAGCUCUGCAGAGCUAUCUAUCUUAGCCUCUGCACUUACCUAGCCCAUCUGGUACCUCAAGAUCUCCCCAAGCAAGGAUUCAAUGAAACUGAUGAAGCUCCUGGGUUGCCAUGGAGAUGCAAGGAUACAUCUAACUGGAAGCUGGUAAUUCUGAAACACCUGGUAAACAAGAGCAAGAAUCUGAUUUUCAGUGAUUACCAAAAACCAUUUAGUGUCUGUGAUAAAGUCGUACCAGGGCUUUGGUUGGCCAGAUAUAUAUCCACCUAGCAUCUUCCUAGGCCAAAGAGCAGAGGGCUGUAACCAGCAUCUGAGGAGUCAUAGUGACACCACCCCUUAGAGCUGAGGAGAUGGUUCGGCCAACAAGGUGCCUCCUCCAAAAGCGUGAGGCUCUGAGUUAGGAUCCUCAGCAUCCGCGUAAGAAGGCAGGCACGGCUACACGUCUGUAAUCCCAGCACUAGGAAGGUGGAUCCCUGGAGUUCAUCAGCCAGCCAACCAAGUCAAACUGAUGAGCUACUAGAGCGAUCUAUCUCAAGAAGUAAAGCCGAAGGCAACUGAGAAAGACAGCCAACAUCGACUUGCAUACACAUGCGCACCACACCCAUCAUUGACCAGCAUGGACAUGCGCACCACACACAUCAACCUGCAUGCACAUGCGCAUCACACACUUUCCUUCUCAAGGACCUGUGAACAUAUAAGCACCAACAAUCCUUUCAUGGCUUCUCGGGGCCAGGAGCCAAGCUGGAGACUUUGCUCUACAAUCAUUUCCUUCCCCGGCUCAUUUUCUAAUCCAAACAUUUGAGGAUGAGGUAUCUGGGUCCUUAUUUAAGCCAUCAACUGGAAAGCAGUCAUCGUCCCCGACACCUCAGCAAAGCACAGGGCGACCCUGCCCCCUGUUGCUUGUCCACUGAUGUCCCAAACCAGCAUGACUGACCAGGAUAGACCUCCUCUCUUCUUUCUUUCUGUCUGUUCCCACAAGGGAUUUCCGCAGCCAUAAUAAAGGUCAGGAGAGGAAGAGACAGAGUUAUCUAAAUCCACAGCUGUAUCCAGGUUCAUGAAGAAUGGCAGAUUGAGUCUUGAGAAGCCAGUGGAGAACAAGAUGAAGGCAACACGUGUGCUGUUAUUUCUUCUUUCCUCCAUCCCUCUUCCUUUCCUGUUACAACAACAACAGUAAUCACAGCAAGUAAAAACAGCAAGCCUGUGACCCCUCUGAACCGAUGGUAUCCAUCCCUCAACAGACGCUCCUCCCACUUCCUGAAGGCAGCAUUUACGAAUAGAAAAGCCAGUGAUGAGGCUUGGAAAUCGUGAUACCAAAAUCCUGCCAGCACGUGGCUCUCUGCUGAUACAGAAUUAACAACUGAAAAUACAGAGAUAUGCCUUAAUAGCAGUGUGAAGAAAGACCACCCCAAUAGGACACAGAAAUGACUAAUAAAACUAUAAAGAUGUAUUCUGUCUUAGGAGACAUGGAAAAGAAAAUCCAAACUUUACUCACAUAAGGACGGCAAAGUAGAUAUGACAGAAAAUAAUAAGCGUUGGCAAGAGUGCAUGUACCUGGUGCUGCUGGGGGCAUUGUAAAUCGACACAACUGCUCUGGGAACCUAUUUAGCAGUAUCUACUAGAAGACUACUUUUCCAUACAAUACUGUGUACCAAUCCUACUUCUAGGAACAGACUAGACAAUAUGCUGACAUUUGGUCACUCGUGACUUGCAUGAACAUGUUCUUAUAUGGAACAAAAAUAUUUGUGGCAGCAUUAUUUAUAACAGCUCCAAACUCGGAAGCAAUGUAGACACAGAUCAACAGUAACAUGAGGAAGGAAACCAUAGUACACUCUCAGAGCAGAAUAUUAUAUGGCAAGGGACAGGAACACUGAAAGGUUAUAUUCAACAAUGCACACACUCAAUUUGACAAAACUAGAAGCACCUGAGAAACAUCUUAAUUGAGGAACUAUCUAAAUCACAAUGGCCACUGGGCAUCCCUGUGGGGGGGGACUUAUUUGAUUGCUAAGUGAUGUAGGAAGACUCAGCCUGUUGUGGGUGGCAUUAUUUCAUGGGCUGAGACAUGAACUGUGUAAGGAUGAAGAAAGCUAGCAGCCUGUGAGUAACCUAGCAAGCAGACAUGAAGGGCAUACUUGGCUCUCUGUUUUUUUUUUUUUUUUUUUGGUUUCUGGCUGGAGAAAACGGGAAACCCCAGCACGAGUGUUGCGACAGCAG
rnacentral:lncRNA from 1 species